rnacentral:misc_RNA from 1 species
GAUGAAGAACGGAGCGAAAUGCGAUACGUAAUGUGAAUUGCAGAAUUCAGUGAAUCAUCGAAUCUUUGAACGCAUAUUGCGCUCUCUGGUAUUCCGGAGAGCAUGCUUGUUUGAGUAUCAGUAAACACCUCAACUUCCAUAUCUUUUUUUGAAAUGGGAGUUGGACUUGAGUGAUCCCAACGCUUUUCCUCACCGAAAAGUGGCGGGUUACUUGAAAUGCAGGUGCAGCUGGACUUUUCUCUGAGCUAUAAGCAUAUCUAUUUAGUCUGCCUAAAAAACAGAUUAUUACCUUUGCUGCAGCUAACAUAAAGGAGAUUAGUUCUUGUGCUGACUGAUGCAGGAUUCACAAAGACAGCUUCGGCCGACUUUGUAAACUCGAUCUCAAAUCAAGUAAGACUACCCGCUGAACUUAAGCAUAUCAAUAAGCGGAGGA